CGGGGGGAGCAGCGUUGUUCGGAUUUACUGGGCGUAAAGGGCGCGUAGGCGGCCAGCACAAGUCAGUUGUGAAAUCUCCGGGCUUAACUCGGAAAGGUCAACUGAUACUGUGCGGCUAGAGUGCAGAAGGGGCAACUGGAAUUCUCGGUGUAGCGGUGAAAUGCGUAGAUAUCGAGAGGAACACCUGCGGCGAAGGCGGGUUGCUGGGCUGACACUGACGCUGAUGCGCGAAAGCCAGGGGAGCGAACGGGAUUAGAUACCCCGGUAGUCCUGACCUUAAACGAUGGAUGCUUGGUGUCUGGAGUUUUAUAGUCUCCGGGUGCCGUAGCUAACGCGUUAAGCAUCCCGCCUGGGGAGUACGGUCGCAAGACUG
rnacentral:rRNA from 1 species